GGUUUGAUCCUGGCUCAGAUUGAACGCUGGCGGCAGGCUUAACACAUGCAAGUCGAGCGGGGGAAAGUAGCUUGCUACUAGACCUAGCGGCGGACGGGUGAGUAAUGCUUAGGAACCUGCCUAUUAGUGGGGGACAACAUUCCGAAAGGAAUGCUAAUACCGCAUACGUCCUACGGGAGAAAGCAGGGGACCUUCGGGCCUUGCGCUAAUAGAUGAGCCUAAGUCGGAUUAGCUAGUUGGUGGGGUAAAGGCCUACCAAGGCGACGAUCUGUAGCGGGUCUGAGAGGAUGAUCCGCCACACUGGGACUGAGACACGGCCCAGACUCCUACGGGAGGCAGCAGUGGGGAAUAUUGGACAAUGGGGGGAACCCUGAUCCAGCCAUGCCGCGUGUGUGAAGAAGGCCUUAUGGUUGUAAAGCACUUUAAGCGAGGAGGAGGCUACUAGUAUUAAUACUACUGGAUAGUGGACGUUACUCGCAGAAUAAGCACCGGCUAACUCUGUGCCAGCAGCCGCGGUAAUACAGAGGGUGCGAGCGUUAAUCGGAUUUACUGGGCGUAAAGCGUGCGUAGGCGGCCAUUUAAGUCAAAUGUGAAAUCCCCGAGCUUAACUUGGGAAUUGCAUUCGAUACUGGAUGGCUAGAGUAUGGGAGAGGAUGGUAGAAUUCCAGGUGUAGCGGUGAAAUGCGUAGAGAUCUGGAGGAAUACCGAUGGCGAAGGCAGCCAUCUGGCCUAACACUGACGCUGAGGUACGAAAGCAUGGGGAGCAAACAGGAUUAGAUACCCUGGUAGUCCAUGCCGUAAACGAUGUCUACUAGCCGUUGGGGCCUUUGAGGCUUUAGUGGCGCAGCUAACGCGAUAAGUAGACCGCCUGGGGAGUACGGUCGCAAGACUAAAACUCAAAUGAAUUGACGGGGGCCCGCACAAGCGGUGGAGCAUGUGGUUUAAUUCGAUGCAACGCGAAGAACCUUACCUGGCCUUGACAUACUAGAAACUUUCCAGAGAUGGAUUGGUGCCUUCGGGAAUCUAGAUACAGGCGCUGCAUGGCUGUCGUCAGCUCGUGUCGUGAGAUGU
rnacentral:rRNA from 1 species